AAAUUGAAGAGUUUGAUCAUGGCUCAGAUUGAACGCUGGCGGCAGGCCUAACACAUGCAAGUCGAGCGGCAGCGGGAAAGUAGCUUGCUACUUUUGCCGGCGAGCGGCGGACGGGUGAGUAAUGCCUGGGAAAUUG
rnacentral:rRNA from 2 species